AAAACAUUUAAAUUCGUAAAACCAGACCAGCAAUCAAGCUGUUUACUAACAUAUAGCUUGUAACAAGCUGUAACGUUGAGCGAAUUGCCUUACUUCUGUAUAGAGGAGUCGAACGCUUACCACUCCAUUGGUAGAACAGAAGCUGCUUGAAAGCCAGCUGCACAAACAUUCUCUAGCUCCAUCGUGCCUGAGUGCUGCGCAGUUAUUAGCUUACACGCACCGGACUGCGUUAAUUUUACAACUUCAUUUGCUCGCUGGAGGACAUAGAUAGAGCACAAUGAGGUGCCUGGCUGUCCUUGUCCUCC
rnacentral:lncRNA from 1 species